rnacentral:rRNA from 1 species
GAUGAACGCUGGCGGCGUGCCUAAUACAUGCAAGUCGAGCGAACGGACGAGAAGCUUGCUUCUCUGAUGUUAGCGGCGGACGGGUGAGUAACACGUGGAUAACCUACCUAUAAGACUGGGAUAACUUCGGGAAACCGGAGCUAAUACCGGAUGAUAUUUUGAACCGCAUGGUUCAAAAGUGAAGGACGGUCUUGCUGUCACUUAUAGAUGGAUCCGCGCUGCAUUAGCUAGUUGGUAAGGUAACGGCUUACCAAGGCAACGAUGCAUAGCCGACCUGAGAGGGUGAUCGGCCACACUGGAACUGAGACACGGUCCAGACUCCUACGGGAGGCAGCAGUAGGGAAUCUUCCGCAAUGGGCGAAAGCCUGACGGAGCAACGCCGCGCGAGUGAUGAAGGUCUUCGGAUCGUAAAACUCUGUUAUUAGGGAAGAACAUAUGUGUAAGUAACUGUGCACAUCUUGACGGUACCUAAUCAGAAAGCCACGGCUAACUACGUG